rnacentral:rRNA from 1 species
CCUACGGGUGGCAGCAGUGGGGAAUAUUGGACAAUGGGGGCAACCCUGAUCCAGCCAUGCCGCGUGUGUGAAGAAGGCCCUCGGGUUGUAAAGCACUUUCAGUGAGGAAGAACGCCUGGUGGUUAAUACCCAUCAGGAAAGACAUCACUCACAGAAGAAGCACCGGCUAACUCCGUGCCAGCAGCCGCGGUAAUACGGAGGGUGCGAGCGUUAAUCGGAAUUACUGGGCGUAAAGCGCGCGUAGGUGGCUUGAUAAGCCGGUUGUGAAAGCCCCGGGCUCAACCUGGGAACGGCAUCCGGAACUGUCAAGCUAGGGUGCAGGAGAGGAAGGUAGAAUUCCCGGUGUAGCGGUGAAAUGCGUAGAGAUCGGGAGGAAUACCAGUGGCGAAGGCGGCCUUCUGGACUGACACUGACACUGAGGUGCGAAAGUGUGGGUAGCAAACAGGAUUAGAUACCCUGGUAGUC